rnacentral:rRNA from 1 species
CAUGGCUCAAGACGAACGCUGGCGGCGUGCUUAACACAUGCAAGUCGAACGAUGAAGCGGCGCUUGCACCGUGGAUUAGUGGCGAACGGGUUGAGUAAUACGUGAGUCGACCUACCUUUGACUCUGGGAUAAGCCUGGGAAACUGGGUCUAAUACCGGAUACGACCGAUUCUCUGCAUGGGGUGUUGGUGGAAAGCGUUAUGGAGUGGUUUUAGAUGGGCUCACGGCCUAUCAGCUUGUUGGUGAGGUAAUGGCUUACCAAGGCGACGACGGGUAGCCGGCCUGAGAGGGUGACCGGCCACACUGGGACUGAGACACGGCCCAGACUCCUACGGGAGGCAGCAGUGGGGAAUAUUGCACAAUGGGCGCAAGCCUGAUGCAGCGACGCCGCGUGAGGGAUGACGGCCUUCGGGUUGUAAACCUCUGUUAGCAUCGAAGAAGCGAAAGUGACGGUAGGUGCAGAGAAAGCGCCGGCUAACUACGUGCCAGCAGCCGCGGUAAUACGUAGGGCGCGAGCGUUGUCCGGAAUUAUUGGGCGUAAAGAGCUUGUAGGGCGGUUGGUCGCGUCUGCUGUGAAAGGCCGGGGCUUAACUCCGGUUUUGCAGUGGGUACGGGCUAACUAGAGUGCAGUAGGGGAGACUGGAAUUCCUGGUGUAGCGGUGGAAUGCACAGAUAUCAGGAGGAACACCGAUGGCGAAGGCAGGUCUCUGGGCUGUAACUGACGCUGAGAAGCGAAAGCAUGGGGAGCGAACAGGAUUAGAUACCCUGGUAGUCCAUGCCGUAAACGUUGGGCACUAGGUGUGGGGGACAUUCCACGUUUUCCGCGCCGUAGCUAACGCAUUAAGUGCCCCGCCUGGGGAGUACGGCCGCAGGGCUAAAACUCAAAGGAAUUGACGGGGGCCCGCACAAGCGGCGGAGCAUGCGGAUUAAUUCGAUGCAACGCGAAGAACCUUACCAAGGCUUGACAUGCAUUAGAUCGCGUCAGAGAUGGCGUUUCCCUUCGGGGCUGGUGUACAGGUGGUGCAUGGUUGUCGUCAGCUCGUGUCGUGAGAUGUUGGGUUAAGUCCCGCAACGAGCGCAACCCUCGUUCUAUGUUGCCAGCGGUUCGGCCGGGGACUCAUAGGAGACUGCCGGGGUCAACUCGGAGGAAGGUGGGGAUGACGUCAAAUCAUCAUGCCCCUUAUGUCUUGGGCUUCACGCAUGCUACAAUGGCCGGUACAGAGGGUUGCGGUACUGUGAGGUGGAGCUAAUCCCUUAAAGCCGGUCUCAGUUCGGAUUGGGGUCUGCAACUCGACCCCAUGAAGUCGGAGUCGCUAGUAAUCGCAGAUCAGCAACGCUGCGGUGAAUACGUUCCCGGGCCUUGUACACACCGCCCGUC